UACGGAGGGGGCAAGCGUUAUUCGGAAUUAUUGGGCGUAAAGGGCGCGUAGGCGGCUAGAUGUGUCAGAGGUGAAAUCCCUCGGCUCAACUGAGGAACUGCCUUUGAAACUGUCUGGCUUGAGGCCGGGAGAGGGUAGCGGAAUUCCCAGUGUAGCGGUGAAAUGCGUAGAUAUUGGGAGGAACACCAGUGGCGAAGGCGGCUACCUGGACCGGUUCUGACGCUGAGGCGCAAAAGCGUGGGUAGCAAACAGG
rnacentral:rRNA from 1 species